rnacentral:lncRNA from 1 species
AUUUUUUAAAGAAUUUAUUUAUUUAUUUGAAAGAGAGACAGAAGGAACUUGAGUAGGGGGAGGGGCAGAGGGAGAGAAAGAGAAGCAGUCUCCCUUCUGAGUCGGGUGGAGCCGGACCUGGGGCUCCAUGCCAAGACCCUGGGAUCAAGACCCUGAGCCAAAGUCAGAUGUCUACCUGCCUAAGCCACCCAGGAACCCCAGAAGAUGUUAUUUUAUAAUAAGCUACUGUCCUUGAAAGAUAUUAAAAUCAUCUCAGUGAAGAGCCGAGAGAGGAAAUGGACAAAAAAAUUUCCAAGGUGGAAGUCUUUUAAAUAAGUUUGUGGAAUAGUGACUUAUUUAUAAUUUCUCCAUAAAGAAGAAGCCCUGUCCUAUAAAUCUUUUCAUACUGAAUCCCUUUGUCUUCCUCUCUUGGAAUAGAAGCUUACUGGGUUGAAGAAGAAAGCCUUUCAUAACAGUGCCACUGGGUAGAGUAGAGGCAGACUUGCAUUCUGAAUGGUUGAGUUAGUGUUUCAUGAAGUCUGCCCUUUGCUCCAUUUUUAAUAGAGACUCUGUCUCCCUGAGCUACUGACAAUGAUUCUUGAAGUUCUUGAUUCUUAAAGUUCUCUUUUGAGGAUAACAUCUGGUUAAACAGGUUAUUUUCCCUCAUUCAGGUGUAAUGUUUUCAAGGGUUUAUGCUAAUUAUGUUCUUUUCUUCCCAGAAGAAACUUAAAGCCAGAUUUGGAUCUUAAUCUGAAUGAGAUCAGCUGCUUGGACACUUGAGCUCCUGGCUAGUCUGUGACCAGCAAAGCAGCGUGGAUGUCAGGUGAGGACUGUAGAAUGGCAGAGUUUUAGGACUCCAGACCCUGCCUCUUACUAGACCCCCAGGUGACUGUAUAAGCUUAAGAAUCUGAGAAGCACUGCUCUCAGCUUCUCUAUAAGCUGCACUAAAGAAUGGGGUCCAGAAAGUUCCAGUCUGGGGGUUCUUGGGGCACUGAGAUGGCCUUUGGCAAAUUAUCGCAUUUCACCACUUGCUAUUGGCAACAUCUGGAAAAGCCUACUUGACAAAGAUCCUUAUAUCUUUUGGCAAUGUACCAAAAAGACUCUAAAAAUAGCAUUUUGUACAAAUUCUCCAAAACAUGACAUGUCUAUUAAUGACUUUGGUUUGGUUUCUCUGGGAACAAAGCCAGUUUUUCUAGGAUUAUGGAGCUAACAGGUCAGACAUUGUUG